rnacentral:rRNA from 1 species
UACGUAGGUGGCAAGCGUUGUCCGGAAUUAUUGGGCGUAAAGCGUGAGCAGGCGGUUCGUUAAGUCAGCUGUGAAAGCCCCGGGCUCAACCUGGGAAUUGCGGUUGAAACUGGCGAACUAGAAUCUGGCAGAGGGGGGUGGAAUUCCACGUGUAGCAGUGAAAUGCGUAGAGAUGUGGAGGAACACCGAUGGCGAAGGCAGCCCCCUGGGCUGAGAUUGACGCUCAGGCACGAAAGCGUGGGGAGCAAACAGG